rnacentral:rRNA from 1 species
AGCUCCAAUAGCGUAUAUUAAAGCUGUUGCGGUUAAAAAGCUCGUAGUUGGAUUUCUGCCGAGGACAACUGGUCCGCCCAUUGGGUGAGCACAUAGUUUGGUCUCGACAUCUUGCUGGAAACUGCUACUGUACUUGGCUGUAUGGUACAGAGUCCAGCACUUUCACUUUGAGGAAAUUGGAGUGUUUCAAGCAGGCACAUGCCUUUGGACACAGUAGCAUGGAAUAAUUAGAUUGGGCUUUUGCUCCAACUUGUCGGUUUCUGGAGCUGAGGUGAGAAUUAAUGGGGAUUGUUGGGGGCAUCCGAAUUUAGCCGUCAGAGGUGAAAUUCUUGGAUCUGCUAAAGACGGACAACUGCGAAAGCGUUUGCCCAGGAUGUUUUCA